rnacentral:rRNA from 1 species
UACGUAGGGUGCAAGCGUUGUCCGGAAUUAUUGGGCGUAAAGAGCUCGUAGGUGGUUUGUCGCGUUGUUCGUGAAAACUCACAGCUCAACUGUGGGCGUGCGGGCGAUACGGGCAGACUAGAGUACGUGCAGGGGAGACUGGGAAUUCCUGGUGUAGCGGUGGAAUGCGCAGAUAUCAGGAGGAACACCAGCGGCGAAGGCGGCGCUCUGGGCCGGAACUGACGCUGAGGAGCGAAAGCGUGGGUAGCAAACAGG